GACGACCGCUGGCGGCGUGCCUAAUACAUGCAAGUCGAACGCAGUGGGGACGGGUGAGUAACACGUGGGUAACCUGCCCAUCAGAGGGGAUAACACUUGGAAACAGGUGCUAAACCGAUACUGAUGGAUGGACCCUCGGUGCAUUAGCUAGUUGGUGGGGUAACGGCUCACCAAGGCCACGAUGCAUAGCCGAGCGGAGAGGGUGAUCGGCCACACUGGGAAUGAGAAACGGCCCAGAAUCCAACGGGAGGCAGAAGUAGGGAAUCUUCGGCAAUGGACGAAAGUCUGACCGAGCAACGCCGCGUGAGUGAAGAAGGUUUUCGGAUCGUAAAACUCUGUUGUUAGAGAAGCGGUAUCUAACCAGAAAGCCACGGCUAACUACGUGCCAGCCGCCGCGGUAAUUC
rnacentral:rRNA from 1 species